rnacentral:misc_RNA from 1 species
AGGGGGUUUCACUAAUGUUCAAAAUAAGAUCUCCCUUUUAUUGAAUUUGGGUCUGUUGAUGAGAUGAUCCAUUUAAGCAAUUUUGUUCAAUUCGGCCAAUGCACCAGCUGAUGCAUUAAUGAACAAUGAUCCAUUUAAGCAAUGUUGACUUUGGGGCAUACCUCUAAUCAAAGCACUUUCAGAUCUCAAUCCAUUAGAUGCACCCCCUGCUGCCUUUCUUUAUCAUUGUGUCACAUGUUCCCAUCAACCUUUAUUUAGCCUUUUGUUGUGCUUUUGCAUUGGAAAAUAACUCAUGCUUUGACAAAGUAAAUGCUUUGUCUUUCCCAAAUAGUUGUUUGAUUCAACAUGAUUGGAUAUUUUUGUGCCAAGAUUGGCUAGCAUUAUGCCAUCACCUGCAACUAAUAUUAAGAAAACUCUCACAAAAUAACUAAAAAGAAGAGAUUCUUUCUGGACCAUCAUAAAUAAAUAUGAUUGCAUUGAUAAUCUAAAUACAACAUUCAGCUCAACAACAACUUGAUCCAAUAUCGUAAGAAUUCUGGGUACUUGAUGAAGCAUUUUAAGUCACCUGAACUCUGAAAUAAACCUGUAUCUAAUGUAUACUAAUUCUUCUUUUUUU